GACGAACGCUGGCGGCGUGCUUAACACAUGCAAGUCGAACGGGAUCCAAAGGCUUUUUGUUUUUGGUGAGAGUGGCGAACGGGUGAGUAACACGUGAGUAACCUGCCCCCUUCUUUUGGAUAACCGCAUGAAAGUGUGGCUAAUACAGGAUAUUCCAGGCUGGUCGCAUGAUUGGUUUGGGAAAUGGUUUGGUCUGGUGGGGGAUGGGCUCGCGGCCUAUCAGCUUGUUGGUGGGGUGAUGGCCUACCAAGGCGGUGACGGGUAGCCGGCCUGGGAGGGUGGGCUGUGACAGUGGGACUGCGAAACGGGCCAGACUUCUACGGGAGGCAGCAGUGGGGGAUUUUGCACAAGGGGCGUAAGCCUGAUGCAGCGACGCCGCGUGAGGGAUGAAGGCCUUCGGGUUGUAAACCUCUUUCGCUGGGUUGAAAGGCCAUGCUUUGGGUGUGGUUGAUUUGAACUGGUAAAGAAGUACCGGCUAACUACGUG
rnacentral:rRNA from 1 species